rnacentral:rRNA from 1 species
UACGAAGGGUCCAAGCGUUAUCCGGAUUUAUUGGGUUUAAAGGGUGCGUAGGCGGCUUAUUAAGUCAGUGGUGAAAGCCUGCAGCUUAACUGCAGAACUGCCAUUGAUACUGAUGAGCUUAAAUAUACUUGAGGUGGGCGGAAUGUGUCAUGUAGCGGUGAAAUGCUUAGAUAUGACACAGAACACCGAUUGCGAAGGCAGCUCGCUAAAGUAUGAUUGACGCUGAGGCACGAAAGCGUGGGGAGCAAACAGG